CACAUGACCACAAUUAACUACAAGGGAAACCCGGAAAUGAAAUCAGUGCGCGGAGGAGGAAGAGGAAAAAGUCGGUUGCGUCUAACAAUCCCUUCUCCUAUGGGGAAAGACACAUCUUUCCUAAAAUGUCUCUGAGGCACCAAGGCGAGAGCGUGGACCAUCAGGCGCACUAAGGGAAAGAGGAACUUUGGCCAGUGCAAAGUAGGUGAAGACAUUGAGGCUGAGUAAUGGAGGGCCCCGCCCAGGGUCACGGAGCAAACACAGAGCCAACACAGAACCAGAGUGUGCUCCCUCCAGGAUGGCCCCUGGCUUCUCUACGGUGAUGCCAACACAAAAAACCAAGUACUGUGUGGCUCGUUUCAAGUUCUGAAGGCCCUCAUCUCAGUGAUCGGCCUCAUAGUUCAUAACUCUCACUAUGCAUCCCCACUAUGGGGAACUUUAAAUCAAGGAAAGAAAAUGAAUGUCCAGGUUCCAUCCCAUGAGAUUCAGAUUCAAUUGGUUUGGGGUGAGGCUGAAAAAAAACCCUACUUUUCAAAAGCUUUUGAGGUAUAAUGGUGUUUUAAUGUGUCAAUUUGGCCAGGCUACUGUUGUAGCCUGUGUUCCCCCAAAAUUCUUAUGUCAAAACCCUACCCCCCCCCGGGUGUGAUGGUAUCAGG